CACACACAAUAUGUUUAGUUCCAUCUCAAACCAUGUACAAUCAAUCAGCUUCAGCUACAGUUAUUGUCGUAAAAGAUUAAGAAAAAAUCUUAUGGGUGCAAUUAUUCCACUGACACCUGCGAAAUUACCAAAAGAACUGACCAUCGCUGUUUAUUGUAUUUUUUUAAAUGUUCUAGUUAAACAAUCUAACACUUAA